GAAAUGCGAUAAUUAAUGUGAAUUGCAGAAUUCAGUGAAUCAUCGAGUCUUUGAACGCACAUUGCGCCCCCUGGUAUUCCGGGGGGCAUGCCUGUCCGAGCGUCAUUGCUGCCCUCAAGCACGGCUUGUGUGUUGGGCUUCCGUCCCUGGCAACGGGGACGGGCCCAAAAGGCAGUGGCGGCACCAUGUCUGGUCCUCGAGCGUAUGGGGCUUUGUCACCCGCUCCCGUUGGUCCAGCUGGCAGCUAGCCUCGCAACCAAUCUUUUUAACCAGGUUGACCUCGGAUCAGGUAGGGAUACCCGCUGAACUUAAGC
rnacentral:misc_RNA from 1 species